rnacentral:rRNA from 1 species
UGGAAGAGCGCGUCCAAGUGCGUAUGUUGCUGCAGAGGAAAACCCCUGCAGACUGAAAGCAGAGACAUGAAGGGGAGUUAAAGGAAACUUUGACGAACUCAUGAAUCCCACACUGCCAAGAAAAACUUCUAGCGAGACAAGAUCCGCCCGUACCGUAAACCGACACAGGUAGGCGGGGAGAGAAUCCUAAGGUGCGCGGGAAAACCCUCGUUAAGGAACUCGGCAAAUUGCAUCCGUAACCUAGGGAGAAGGAUGGCCCCCGGUCAGUGAAGAGCAGAAACGCUCAGAGCUAAAAGGGGCGGCAGAAAAGAGGCCCAAGCAACUGUUUACCAAAAACACAGGUGCCUGCGAAAGCGAAAGCUGAAGUAUAGGUGCUGACGCCUGCCCGGUGCCGGAAGGUUAAGGAGAGAAGUUAGCGAAAGCGAAGCAUCGAACUGAAGCCCCGGUGAACGGCGGCCGUAACUAUAACGGUCCUAAGGUAGCGAAAUUCCUUGUCGGGUAAGUUCCGACCCGCAUGAAAGGCGUAAUGAUUUGGGCACUGUCUCAACGAGGGGCCCGGUGAAAUUGAAAUACCUGUGAAGAUGCAGGUUACCCGCGACUGGACAGAAAGACCCCAUGGAGCUUCACUGCAGCUUGAGAUUGAAUCCCGGUGACAGA